rnacentral:sRNA from 1 species
GAUGGCCGCGGAGCCGGGCGGAGCUGGCCUGCGGCUCCCGGGGCCGGCUCUCCGGCCGGAGACAUGGCCCGGGGGCCCGGCCCGCUAGGCAGGCCUCGCCCCGAUACGGUCGCCAUGCCCAAGAGAGGAAAGCGACUCAAGUUCCGGGCCCACGACGCCUGCUCCGGCCGAGGUGGGCGAGGGGGGCAGGGGCGCUGAAACAUUUUGGGGCUGGCGGCUGGGAGGGGGCUGGACCGUGCCGAGGUGAGCGCUCGCCUGCCCGCGGCUGGAGGGCGGCUUGGUCCGGGGGCCUGCAGCGAGGAGGAGGUCUUGGCGGGGAAGACGCUGACCAGAGAAGGCCUCUUCCUUGAGGGUUGGUGCUGUGUUGCAGUGACCGUGGCGGAUUACGCCAACUCGGAUCCGGCGGUCGUGAGGUCUGGACGAGUCAAGAAAGCCGUAGCCAACGCUGUUCAGCAGGAAGUAAAAUCUCUUUGUGGCUUGGAAGCCUCUCAGGUUCCUGCAGAGGAAGCUCUUUCUGGGGCUGGUGAGCCCUGUGACAUCAUCGACAGCAGUGAUGAGAUGGAGGCCCAGGAGGAAAGCAUCCAUGAGAGAACUGUCUCCAGAAAAAAGAAAAGUAAGAGACACAAAGAAGAACUGGAUGGUGCUGGAGAAGAGUAUCCCAUGGAUAUUUGGCUAUUGCUGGCCUCCUAUAUCCGUCCUGAGGACAUUGUGAAUUUUUCCCUGAUUUGUAAGAAUGCCUGGACUGUCACUUGCACUGCUGCCUUUUGGACCAGGUUGUACCGAAGGCACUACACGCUGGAUGCUUCCCUGCCUUUGCGUCUGCGACCAGAGUCAAUGGAGAAGCUGCGCUGUCUCCGGGCUUGUGUGAUCCGAUCUCUGUACCAUAUGUAUGAGCCAUUUGCUGCUCGAAUCUCCAAGAA